UGGGGAAUCUUCCACAAUGGACGCAAGUCUGAUGGAGCAACGCCGCGUGAGUGAAGAAGGGUUUCGGCUCGUAAAGCUCUGUUGUUAAAGAAGAACACGUAUGAGAGUAACUGUUCAUACGUUGACGGUAUUUAACCAGAAAGUCACGGCUAACUACGCGCCAG
rnacentral:rRNA from 1 species